rnacentral:rRNA from 1 species
CCCUUAGAGUUUGAUCCUGGCUCAGAUUGAACGCUGGCGGCAUGCCUUACACAUGCAAGUCGAACGGCAGCGCGGGGCAACCUGGCGGCGAGUGGCGAACGGGUGAGUAAUAUAUCGGAACGUACCCUGGAGUGGGGGAUAACGUAGCGAAAGUUACGCUAAUGCCGCAUACGAUCUACGGAUGAAAGUGGGGGAUCGCAAGACCUCAUGCUCCUGGAGCGGCCGAUAUCUGAUUAGCUAGUUGGUGGGGUAAAGGCCUACCAAGGCAUCGAUCAGUAGCUGGUCUGAGAGGACGACCAGCCACACUGGAACUGAGACACGGUCCAGACUCCUACGGGAGGCAGCAGUGGGGAAUUUUGGACAAUGGGCGCAAGCCUGAUCCAGCAAUGCCGCGUGAGUGAAGAAGGCCUUCGGGUUGUAAAGCUCUUUUGUCAGGGAAGAAACGGUGAGGGCUAAUAUCCCUUGCUAAUGACGGUACCUGAAGAAUAAGCACCGGCUAACUACGUGCCAGCAGCCGCGGUAAUACGUAGGGUGCAAGCGUUAAUCGGAAUUACUGGGCGUAAAGCGUGCGCAGGCGGUUUUGUAAGUCUGUCGUGAAAUCCCCGGGCUCAACCUGGGAAUUGCGAUGGAGACUGCAAGGCUAGAAUCUGGCAGAGGGGGGGUAGAAUUCCACGUGUAGCAGUGAAAUGCGUAGAGAUGUGGAGGAACACCGAUGGCGA